rnacentral:rRNA from 1 species
GAUGAACGCUGGCGGCGUGCCUAAUACAUGCAAGUCGAGCGAACGGACGAGAAGCUUGCUUCUCUGAUGUUAGCGGCGGACGGGUGAGUAACACGUGGAUAACCUACCUAUAAGUCUGGGAUAACUUCGGGAAACCGGCGCUAAUACCGGAUAAUAUUUUGCACCGCAUGGUUCAAAAGUGAAAGACGGUCUUGCUGUCACUUAUAGAUGGAUCCGCGCUGCAUUGGCUAGUUGGUAAGGUAACGGCUUACCAAGGCAACGAUGCAUAGCCGACCUGAGAGGGGGGUCGGCCACACUGGAACGGAGACACGGUCCAGACUCCUGCGGGAGGGAGCAGUAGGGUAUGGUACGCAAUGGGCGGAAACCUGACGGAGCAACGCCGAGUGAGAGAUGAAGGUCUUCGGAUCGGAAAACUCUGUUAUGAGGUAAGAACAGAUGUGUAAGUAACUGUGCACAGCGUGACGGUACCUAAUCAGAAAGCCACGGCUAACUACGUG